GGGGGACGGAUGCUCCAGAGUGGUCGAGGGGAGGAGCCACAGAGAUCUCUCAGAGGUGACGUUUUCUGAGCGUGACUCUGACUCAGCGUGGGGUGAGGAGGAAUCAGCGGAAGGUCACGAGGUCAGCCGUGUGGAGCGGAACGCAGUGGUGGUGGUGGAGGGGGACUGGACCGAGACGCAGCACGGUGACCCCACCUUGACCUCUGACCUCCCAACGGCACGGGACGACUUCACACAGGGCCAAGAUGUGUAAGGGACGUACCCAGAGACGGACAGUAGUGAGGGGGGAGGAGCCUGUGGUAACUGGAAACAGGUUCUCCUGGAACACCUUCAUCACCUCAUCCACCUCUACUGUUAGAAGGAGGAGGAAGAGGAGGAGGAGGAGGGGGGGAUGAGGAAGAAGAGGGGAGGAAAAAGGAAUAACAGGCCUCCUUUAUCGCCUCGCUAGUUUCCUGUUUGGCCUCUGAGACCCGCCCCUUUCCCUGAAGAUCCACCAAUCCUAUGCAUCAGGCACAUGCAAUCCCAGAGUGCACUUCAGUCCUACCACCGUCUUCCUGUUUCAACAAUCACAACUGUUUGGUCUUAACUGAUUCACUUAUUUUCUUUCUUUCUGUUUUGUUUUCUUCUUUCUGUGUUUUUUCCGUUUUCCUUUUUUUUUUUGUGUGACCAAAGUUU